GAUUCCAUCUACCGGCGGCAAGCGGGAAGCUCAUGUGUCGUCCGCCUUUCACGACAACAUGGCAAGUGUGCCAGCCACUCAGCACGUCUAUGUUUAGGCCGCUCACUCAAUCUCAGCUGCGCGCAUUCGUCACAGCGGAGCUGCCAAAUACGCGGCAACAUCCGCGGCGUCCUUGAACGCACCACUUCCCAUUCACUCCCACGCGCCGCGGGUGGCUCACCUGGAGGACAGUUGCAUUCAGGGAGCAUCGGCCACGCGCACGGGUCAAUCUCACCUGGGAGAGCAUCUCGUUGACUUUUUGCGCAACCAACGCAUCCAAAUCGUCGGCGGGGGCGCGCGUCGACGCGUCCGCGCCGCGCUCCAAACCCGCCAGCCGGCGCCUGACGUCUGCUGCGUGGAUGCUGAGCACCACGCAGAAGGCGAUGGACGCUACCGAGCACAGCGACGGGAUGACGCUGGCGGCUCGACGCCGAGGGGUCACUUUCUCGUCCAUGUUCCCCGUGGACGCUCCACGCUCCAUCCGAAUUACGGCGCGGGUUGACGGUCACGAGGCGUUCACGUUCACCGCCGCAAAACUUGUUGCACCUCAGACGUUCGCGAGAGGAGGCGCUGAGGAAUCGCGUGUAAAUCAAGGCGGCGUGGGCACUCAGAGCUUUUCCACGCUCAAGCACAAACACACACGCCCCCACCCUCGUUAUGGCAGCAACACGCCCCCAAACUCUCGUGGCACCCUGCAGUCACUCACCGGAUGACGACAGCCGUGAAAUCAAUUGGCAUGUAGCCUUCAUUCAAUUCAAUUAAACUUGCAAUUGACAAGC